rnacentral:rRNA from 1 species
GUACACUCCUGCGGGAGGCAGCAGUGGGGAAUUUUGGACAAUGGGCGAAAGCCUGAUCCAGCAAUGCCGCGUGUGUGAAGAAGGCCUUCGGGUUGUAAAGCACUUUUGUCCGGAAAGAAAUCCUUGGCUCUAAUACAGUCGGGGGAUGACGGUACCGGAAGAAUAAGCACCGGCUAACUACGUGCCAGCAGCCGCGGUAAUACGUAGGGUGCGAGCGUUAAUCGGAAUUACUGGGCGUAAAGCGUGCGCAGGCGGUUUGCUAAGACCGAUGUGAAAUCCCCGGGCUCAACCUGGGAACUGCAUUGGUGACUGGCAGGCUAGAGUAUGGCAGAGGGGGGUAGAAUUCCACGUGUAGCAGUGAAAUGCGUAGAGAUGUGGAGGAAUACCGAUGGCGAAGGCAGCCCCCUGGGCCAAUACUGACGCUCAUGCACGAAAGCGUGGGGAGCAAACAGGAGUAGAAACCCCAGUAGUCCCAUG